rnacentral:rRNA from 1 species
UACGUAGGGGGCAAGCGUUGUCCGGAAUCACUGGGCGUAAAGCGCGCGCAGGCGGCUGUCUACGUCCGGGGUGAAAGCCCAGAGCUCAACUCUGGGACUGCCUUGGAUACGGGAUGGCUUGAGGAUCGGAGAGGUAAGUGGAAUUCCGAGUGUAGAGGUGAAAUUCGUAGAUAUUCGGAAGAACACCAGUGGCGAAGGCGACUUACUGGACGAUUGUUGACGCUGAGGUGCGAAAGCGUGGGGAGCAAACAGG